rnacentral:rRNA from 1 species
UAUGAAUAAGGAUCGGCUAACUCCGUGCCAGCAGCCGCGGUAAUACGGAGGAUCCGAGCGUUAUCCGGAUUUAUUGGGUUUAAAGGGUGCGUAGGCGGCCUUUUAAGUCAGCGGUGAAAGUCUGUGGCUCAACCAUAGAAUUGCCGUUGAAACUGGGGGGCUUGAGUAUGUUUGAGGCAGGCGGAAUGCGUGGUGUAGCGGUGAAAUGCAUAGAUAUCACGCAGAACCCCGAUUGCGAAGGCAGCCUGCCAAGCCAUUACUGACGCUGAUGCACGAAAGCGUGGGGAUCAAACAGGAUUAGAUACCCUGGUAGUCCACGCAGUAAACGAUGAUCACUAGCUGUUUGCGAUACACUGUAAGCGGCACAGCGAAAGCGUUAAGUGAUCCACCUGGGGAGUACGCCGGCAACGGUGAAACUCAAAGGAAUUGACGGGGGCCCGCACAAGCGGAGGAACAUGUGGUUUAAUUCGAUGAUACGCGAGGAACCUUACCCGGGUUUGAACGCAUUCGGACCGAGGUGGAAACACCUUUUCUAGCAAUAGCCGUUUGCGAGGUGCUGCAUGGUUGUCGUCAGCUCGUGCCGUGAGGUGUCGGCUUAAGUGCCAUAACGAGCGCAACCCUUGCCACUAGUUACUAACAGGUGAUGCUGAGGACUCUGGUGGGACUGCCAGCGUAAGCUGCGAGGAAGGCGGGGAUGACGUCAAAUCAGCACGGCCCUUACAUCCGGGGCGACACACGUGUUACAAUGGCGUGGACAAAGGGAGGCCACCUGGCGACAGGGAGCGAAUCCCCAAACCACGUCUCAGUUCGGAUCGGAGUCUGCAACCCGACUCCGUGAAGCUGGAUUCGCUAGUAAUCGCGCAUCAGCCAUGGCGCGGUGAAUACGUUCCCGGGCCUUGUACACACCGCC